UCAGGCAUGGUAUAACGGUAACACCGCCUCUAUAGUUGUGGAUCUUUGAACUUGAUUAUGGGGCUGCUCAGGGUUUGAAUCCCUGUGUCUGAA